rnacentral:sRNA from 1 species
GUGGACCACAAUGAUGUCAGCAAAGGGACAUGAUGGGAAGGAACCUAUGAAAUUUGUGGAUUUGCUUGGUGACCAUGGGAAACAUGUCAAUCCUCUUUGGGAGUUGAUCAAAUGGUGCCUGGGUCUGUCAGUGUACACCAUCCCUUCCAUUGGACUGGCUUUGUUGGAAGAAAAGCUCAGAUAUAGCAAUGAGAAAUACCAAAAGUUUAAGGCAGUGGAAGAAAGCCUGCGUAAAGAGCUGGUGGAGAUGCUAGGUGAUGAUGGUGUGUUCUUAUAUCCCUCACAUCCCACAGUGGCACCUAAGCAUCAUGUCCCUCUAACACGGCCUUUCAACUUUGCUUACACAGGUGUCUGUACUCAAAGAUCUCUUGGACCAUUUAUAU